rnacentral:rRNA from 1 species
GACGAACGCUGGCGGCGUGCCUAAUACAUGCAAGUCGAGCGGAAGUUGAAGAGCUUGCUCUUCAACUUUAGCGGCGGACGGGUGAGUAACACGUGGGCAACCUGCCCUGCAGAUCGGGAUAACUCCGGGAAACCGGUGCUAAUACCGAAUAGUUUUCGCCACCUCCUGGUGGCGUACGGAAAGACGGUUUCGGCUGUCACUGCAGGAUGGGCCCGCGGCGCAUUAGCUAGUUGGUGGGGUAACGGCCCACCAAGGCGACGAUGCGUAGCCGACCUGGGAGGGUGAUCGGCCACACUGGGACUGAGACACGGCCCAGACUCCUACGGGAGGCAGCAGUAGGGAAUCUUCCGCAAUGGACGAAAGUCUGACGGAGCAACGCCGCGUGAGUGACGAAGGUUUUCGGAUCGUAAAACUCUGUUGUGAGGGAAGAACAAGUACCACUUAACUACUGGUACCUUGACGGUACCUCACCAGAAAGCCACGGCUAACUACGUGCCAGCCGCCGCAGUAACAC